UCUAUAUGAUGUUGCUUCGGUUCUAUCGGCGCGAGUCGAUAGCCCAUAGGGCAGACCGGAAAAUUCCGGCACUUCCCUUGCAACUGCAAGCGGUUAACACGGCUCACAGCGCCACGGGGAACACCUCGGGAAGGCCGGACAAGCCAUAUCCGCGCAGUCAGGUGACCGGCCGCAGCGGACAAAAACAC
rnacentral:ncRNA from 2 species